AUUGAACGCUGGCGGCAUGCUUUACACAUGCAAGUCGAACGGUAACAGGCCGCAAGGUGCUGACGAGUGGCGAACGGGUGAGUAAUGCAUCGGAACGUGCCCAGUCGUGGCGGAUAACGCAGCGAAAGCUGCGCUAAUACCGCAUACGAUCUAUGGAUGAAAGCGGGGGACCGUAAGGCCUCGCGCGAUUGGAGCGGCCGAUGUCAGAUUAGGUAGUUGGUGGGGUAAAGGCUCACCAAGCCAACGAUCUGUAGCUGGUCUGAGAGGACGACCAGUCACACUGGGACUGAGACACGGCCCAGACUCCUACGGGAGGUAGCAGUGGGGAAUUUUGGACAAUGGGCGCAAGCCUGAUCCAGCAAUGCCGCGUGCAGGAAGAAGGCCUUCGGGUUGUAAACUGCUUUUGUACGGAACGAAACGGUCCUGGUUAAUACCCGGGGCUAAUGACGGUACCGUAAGAAUAAGCACCGGCUAACUACGUGCCAGCAGCCGCGGUAACAC
rnacentral:rRNA from 1 species